UUGUGCAAUGAACGAAAGUAUGACACAGAGAGGACACAUUUAUUUGAGCCCGUCAAAUUAAGUGCCAGCCGACGCGGUAAGACUUAAGGGCUGGUCUUUAUAAGUAAAAAGGCGUUAAGGAUGUGUAGGCUAACAAUUAUCCAAGAAWGUAAAUGGAAUUUUUCUGGAGCGGUAGAAUGUGAUGAUAGAAAAUAGAACUCCUAAGGUUAAAACUAUUUACCNCAAGAUAGGCUGAAACAUGAAAGUGUGGGGAGCCAACAGGAUUAGAGACCCUGGUAGCCCACACUGUGAACUUUGAAGAUGAUGCUUAGCAGACCCGAAAGGUAAAAUCUUCCGCCUGAGUAGAACGAUCGCAAGAUUAAAAUUCAAAAAUUUUGGCUGUUCACUAUUUCGAUUAGAGGAGCGUGUAGUUUAAUUCGAUGGUCCGCGUGUUACCUCACCCCAGCUUGAAUCCGUGACUGGUAUUGCAUGGCCNUCGUAAGUCCGUGUGUUAAGCUAGAAGGGACCCAACCCGGGCACCUGCCCGGAGGAAGUCAGGUCUUAUGAUCCGAAUGCUGGGGGGUUUUAUGCNCUACAUUUUCUUAUAUAAUGGGAGACACUGAAAGGUGAAUCUCUAAAGUAAGAGUUCGGAAGGUCGCUGUAAGACGACUGGAAGUUGUAUUUAAAAGUAAUCGGAAAGUAGAGCGUUCCGGUGAAUUGGUGCAAGUGUUAGCACAAAUUGCCCGUCACC
rnacentral:rRNA from 1 species